ensembl:lncRNA
UGUUUAAAGGCACAGUCAACUUAGUGUAUGCAAACUUCUGACCCACUGGAAUUGUGAUACAGUGAAUUCUAAGUGAAAUAAUCUGUCUAUAAUCAAUUGUUGGAAAAAUUACUUGUAUCAUGCACAAAGUAGAUGUCCUAACCUACUUGCCAAAACUAUAGUUUGUUAACAAGAAAUGUGUGGAUUGGUUGAAAAACGAGUUUGAAUGCCUCCAACCUAAGUGUAUGUAAACUUUCGACUUCAACUGUAUAUAUAUAUAUAUAUGACUGGCUGUACACUGGCUGUAUGUAUAUAUAUACAUAUAUAUAUACACACACAGUAUGUGUCUUGUUUUGUUCCUUUACAUUAUACUUUUAUAGAACAGUUUAACAGGAUCUCAACAACUGACGAAGACAGCCUUUUGUUUUUCAGCUGGUGUUCUGGUUAUCUUGGUUCUGCUGCUGGGCAUUGCUGGUUUCUUAGUGUACAGAUAUGGCAACAUUCCUUGGAGAGACAAACAUCCAUUUGCCCUUGCACAGCUAGCUCAGCUGGGUCGGGACUACAUUAACACCAACAGGGAAAACCAGAGGGACAACGGAGAUCCUGAUGAUCCAGCUGCUGGGGACGCUGAGUCUCUCCGAUCUGCGCUCGUCUAUAAUCUAUAACUGCAUUUGUCCCUUUGCACCAUCAGGGACCAGGGGGAUGGGGUGGAAGAGGAGAGGGAGCCACCACACAGUCAGGAGACACAUGUUGAGUCCGUCCUCUCUGCUGAAUGGGCAUCUUGUGAACAGCAGUCAAGGAGAGAGAGGUGAGCCAAGCAAGAUGUUCGUUCAGCCAAUGGGCCGUGAGGGAACAGAUACUGAAUUCUCUCAGAAGAGAAAUGCUGGAUUUCAUUUUGAGCCGGUUUGCUACAGCAGGAAAAUAAUCCUGCAGCAACAACAAAUGUGAAUUGUUACGUGGGUUGAUAGAUUUUUCAUUAGGGCAAAUCAAAUCGGUCAUUUUAAAGUGGAAAUUACCAACUUUCAAUGCCUUUUUAAACUUUGAAUACACUACAGGUUUGCAGGAAAAUGCUCAGCAACCAAAGAGUGAUCAAAUUAAGAUCGUACCUCUGUAAUCUCACAAUGGGGCAUGUAAUAACGUUUGUCUUGUGAUGGAUCAAUGAUGAUGUCAGGUAAACUUGACUACAUAUUGAUACAUCCACAACUCAUUGGGUAAUAAUGUCACCAACUCCAUUUUCCCACGGUUCAUGUCAGCCUCUGUCUCUUUAGGGAACAGUAUUAUGGUGGAUCAUGAAUGUGAAUGUUGAUGUCUUAUUACUCCAACAGGGUUAACGAUGAGACUAAGGAAGCAACUCCUGGUGCACAGAGUCCAGGACCUCCUCAGAUGAAUGGAGGUCCUCCCAUGUCUGACAGGUGAUAUUGUAACUAUUGCUAAAGUAACACUGUUCUGAGCUUUUUCUCCACUGUAUUUGAAUUGAAGGUACAGGAUUGUAUAAUAACCAUGUUUUUACCCAUGUUUCCUGAACCAGCCUGUCUUACUGUGUUCUGUGUCUAAGGUUGGAGAACAACCCUGUUGGUCAGCGCAUGAAGAAAACUGCUCUGGUGAACAAGCAGGACCAGGACUGGUCAGCAACGGCAUGUAGCCAGUUGAAAAUAUAUAGUAUAUAAGAUGAAACUAAGUGUAAAUAUAACAUUAUAUACACUGUAAUAUAGAACAGUAUAAUAUGACAUGAUAUACACUGUAAUAUAGAACAGUAUAAAAUAACAUGAUAUACACUGUAAUAUAAAACAGUAUAAUAUAAUAUGACAUGAUAUACACUGUAAUAUAGAACAGUAUAAUAUGACAUGAUAUACACUGUAAUAUAGAACAGUAUAAUAUGACAUGAUAUACACUGUAAUAUAGAACAGUAUAAUAUGACAUUAUAUACACUGUAAUAUAGAACAGUAUAAUAUGACAUGAUAUACACUGUAAUAUAGAACAGUAUAAUAUGACAG